UUGGCUCGCAACAUUCUCAUACUAUAUAAUGCUCCAAAUCAAUAAUGAAAGACUAAGAAAGAAAAUGGAUGGAUGAUAUAUAUAUUAUUAGGAUCUCUCUUGCGCCUUCAAUCUCUUUUUAUUUGCCUUCUC
rnacentral:ribozyme from 1 species